GGGUUAUGGCAGGAGCACCCAACCCAUGUGACAUACCUACUGUUGCUUCGGCGGGAUUGCCCCGGGCGCCUCGUGUGCCCCGGAUCAGGCGCCCGCCUAGGAAACUUAAUUCUUGUUUUAUUUUGGAAUCUUCUGAGUAGUUUUUACAAAUAAAUAAAAACUUUCAACAACGGAUCUCUUGGUUCUGGCAUCGAUGAAGAACGCAGCGAAAUGCGAUAAGUAAUGUGAAUUGCAGAAUUCAGUGAAUCAUCGAAUCUUUGAACGCACAUUGCGCCCGCCAGUAUUCUGGCGGGCAUGCCUGUCUGAGCGUCAUUUCAACCCUCAUGCCCCUAGGGCGUGGUGUUGGGGAUCGGCCAAAGCCCGCGAGGGACGGCCGGCCCCUAAAUCUAGUGGCGGACCCGUCGUGGCCUCCUCUGCGAAGUAGUGAUAUUCCGCAUCGGAGAGCGACGAGCCCCUGCCGUUAAACCCCCAACUUUCCAAGGUUGACCUCAGAUCAGGUAGGAAUACCCGCUGAACUUAAGCAUAUCAAUAAGCGGAGGAA
rnacentral:rRNA from 1 species